rnacentral:lncRNA from 1 species
CCUUUGAAAUUUGAUUGAAUUGUGGAAAUGAUGAAAUGUUGAUGUUAAACCCAUGAAAUUCGAUUGAAUUGUGUGAAUGAUGAAAUUUGAUUGAAUUAUGGGAAUGAUGAAAGUGAUGUUGUUAAACCUAUGAAAUUUGAUUGAAUUGUGUGAAUGAUGAAAUGUUGAUGUUAAACCCAUGAAAUUCGAUUGAAUUGUAUGAAUGAUGAAAUGUUGAUGUUAAACACAUGAAAUUCGAUCGAAUUGUGUGAAUGAUAAAAAUGAUGACGUUAAAAACAGGAAAUUUGAUUGAAUUGUGGGAAUGAUGAAAAUGAUGAUGUUAAUCCCAUGAAGUUUGAUUGAAUUGUAGGAAUGAUGAAACUGAUUAUGUUAAUCCCAUGAAAUUUGAUUGAAUUGUGGGAAUGAUGAAAAUGAUGAUGUUAAACCCAUGAAAUUUGAUUGAAUUGUGUGAUUAAAUGAAAAUAUUGUUGUUAAAAUUGAAUUGUGGGAAUGAUGAAAAUGAUGAUGUUAAACCCAUGAAAUUUGAUUGAAUUGUGUGAUUAAAUGAAAAUAUUGUUGUUAAAACCAUGAAAUUUGAUUGAAAUAUAUGAAUGAUAAAAAUUAUUCUGUUAAACCCUUAAAAUCU